GGCGGGGCGGGGGCUUGCAGAGAGCCGCUCGGCACGCCUCUGGGCCUUGGGCAGAACGGGUUCAAGACCUAGCUGGCGUUUUUUCUCGGACCGUCUCGGCGCAGGCACGGAGCGGAGCCCGGGGCUCUGGGAACAAAGGGUCGGCGCCCCGGGGAAGAAGCCCACCUGGGAUGACUGUCAGCAGCUCCUGCAGGUUCUCUGUACCACUGAGGAAAGAGCGAAUCCAGGUGGAAGCCCGGAAGUCCGUCCUGGGUGUGGCCUAAGCUGAGGGCUCUCUACGAGACUGGGCCACCCCUGGGUCCCCAUCGAUAUCGGCCGGUGAUUGGGUGCACGUCCGGAGAUACCAACACCAGACACUUCAACCUCGCUGCAAGGGACUCUACAUCGUGAUCCUGACCACUCCCACUGCUCUCAAAGUCGACGGGAUUACUCCCUGGGUCCACUACACCCACAUCUGGCCAGCUGACCCACACGCUGUUCUCAAGGACUUCGUUCCAGAAUGGAAAAGCCAGCUCGAAAAGGACAAUCCCCUAAAGCUAAGACUGUGCGGUUCUCACUUACCCCACUAAUGUUGCUUAUGUUAUGUCCCCCUCAUGCCAGGGCCAAUCCCCAGCAACCACUUAACCUAACAUGGCAGGUAAUAAGUGUUUCUACAGCAGAGGUUGUAUAUUCUCUCUCAAAAAUUGCCCCACUACAGACUUGGUUCCCUGACCUUACUCUUGACCUAACAAAAAUACUUGGGAACACCCAUCUCCACGGGUUGAGAAGCCAACUAUACAAACGGCAUUUUUAUGUUUGCCCGGGACACCUUACAGGAUACUGGGCAAAACAGUGUGGGGGCCCCACCCACUUUUACUGUGCCAGCUGGAGUUGUGUCUCCACUGGCGAAAUUUGGUGGACGGCCCCCUACAAAGAUGAUUUAAUUACUCUUAAAAGAAACCACACAUUACAGAACUCUGAAACCAGUAAUCUGAUCACCCUAAAAUUCACAGAGGCCGGCAAACUAGAUACAAGAUGGCAGAUGGGACUUACUUGGGGCUUAAGAAUCUAUGACAAAGUAAGACUCGGUUACCAGGACCCGGGUGCAAUAUUCACCUUGAGACUCUCAGCCCAGAAUAACCAGGUUAGCCUAGACCCAAACCCUGUAUUAGCACCGCCCAAAACUCAGAUAAAUCCUGUUCCCCCUCCACUGCCCUCCCCUGUACCCACCAUACCAUCUGCGUCCGAGAGAUGAUCACUCCCAUCCCGACUCCCUUCCCACAAGAUCCUCCCUUCCUCAGCUCCUCUGAGCAUCCACUUUGGGACCUGAUGUUCCAAGCUUACAGGUUCCUCAACGCAACCAAGCCCAAUCUUGCCCAAUCUUACGCGAUCUUGCUGGCACUGCUAUGACAUCCAGCCUCCCUUCUAGGAGGGAAUUGUGAUGUUGGGUCAGUACAACACAGCCUCCAACCCUAAUGCCUGUAGAUGGCAUCAAAAGACUCAAGGACUCCCUUUACAAUCAGUGUCAGGUCAGGGACUCUGUACAGGCACCCUCUCACCCCAGUACCAGACCCUACGUAAUGAUAACAAGAUCUGUAUCUAGCCUAGACGACCACCUACCUCCUCAAGAUGGUUGGUGGACAUGUUCUACGGGCCUAUCCCCCUGUUUUCCUGGUCACGUUCUGAAUCAGACAAAGGGUUUCUGUGUGCUAGUUCAGC